UACGUAGGGGGCAAGCGUUGUCCGGAUUUAUUGGGCGUAAAGAGCGUGUAGGCGGCCAGAUAGGUCAGCUGUGAAAACUCGAGGCUCAACCUCGAGACGCCGGUUGAAACCAUCUGGCUAGAGUCCGGAAGAGGAGAGUGGAAUUCCUGGUGUAGCGGUGAAAUGCGCAGAUAUCAGGAAGAACACCCGUGGCGAAGGCGGCUCUCUGGUACGUGACUGACGCUGAGACGCGAAAGCGUGGGGAGCGAACAGG
rnacentral:rRNA from 1 species